rnacentral:lncRNA from 1 species
UUGACUUCAGUUACUAAUGAGAUUCUUUUGUGAUGUUUGGGUAUUGUUGAGAGCUGACUUUUUUGCAUGAUUUUGGAUGAACAUUAUUAUGUUUGCUUAUGGAUUGGAUUAUUGAUUGCUUGAGGACAAGAAAAAGUUUCAGUGCGGGGUAAUUUGAUAUGUUGCAUUCUAUACAUGUUUUUGUGCUUCAUUCAUUCAUGUUUAUGCAAGUAUUGGAGUCAUUUUUAUGGU